ACGCCAAGAUCAAGAGUCUCCGGCUGCACUGACUGAGCCAGCCUGGCGCACCGAUAUUAUCUAUUUUGAAUUUAACUUGAGUACAAUAGAAAAAUUAACAGACAUGCCUCAUGCAACAUCCAAAGGUAUCCAAUGAUGGAACUGAGUCACAGAGGUUUUAACAAGCUCUCCAUAGUCUGACAAUGAGAAACACAAUAGAAGAGUCCAAAGGUAAAUUAAAUAACAUUGAGCAGUUCUCUCAAUUGUCUGCAAAUUGUCUGCAAUUGUCUGCAAAUCUCAAACUGUUCAGGAAAAAAAAAGUCUGUUUAAAUUUUAUUUAAAGAAUCAACUGCAAUCUCACCACCCAGAGCAAACAUGCUAAUGUAUUAGUGCCUGUAUUUAGAAAUGUUUUGUCUAUGCAUAAAUUUCCUUUUAUUAA